GAGCGGACACCGGCGGUGCGAUAGUUCUCGGCUACGACUGCGAGCAAGCCGAGAUCCGACUGCCAGUUACCUAUGGGCUUCGUGAAGAAUCGGGGCACAUCGCAGUGAAUCUCUCCAACCGUCAGCGUUGCGACAACGUACAGACGACGUGCAACGAGUUCCCAAAACUGCCACCGUGACCCGGAACUCAAUACUUCGGAGUAGCUGAGCCGACCAGGACUCCUUUUUUUGAGAACGUGCCUAUAGCCAAACAUUAUACGGUUCAAGAACCCCCUAGGGACCAGAACCAACACCUUCGCUUCCGCUACGACGUGCUCUAUAGCCAAGUUGUACCUCUACGACAUUAUUCCUGGACAAGGAAGACCACGAUUUUCAGAUCGACACAAGAUCAAUGCGAUGAAGCAGACGAAUCCAGUGGAAGCGGAAGAGGCUGUGUACGUACGUCCAAUAAAGGUACACUAAAGGGACACAUUAGCCAAAUUUAAAUAAAAAGUUAUCGUCAUACAACCGCAAUGAGUGCACUACUGUCUCCGAGGUCAGAGCUUCCAUUUACGACGACGCAAAUGCUGGAGAGCGACGGUGCAGCCGCUUCGGAACGUGGAACCGGUUCCCGCAGACGUAAGUCAUUUCUGCAAUGGUUUGAUGACUAAGCGUAAUAAAAAAGCUUAAACCACAGCGCUUAAAAGUGAAAUAAAGUGUCAUUUCCCUACGUUUUUCUAAUUUAUCCAAGCUUUCAAAGGAGGAACACCUUAAUUAUACCUAAUUCUUUCUUUCUUUCUUUCUUUCUUUCUUUCUUUCUUUCUUUCUUUCUUUCUUUCUUUCUUUCUUUCUUUCUUUCUUUCUUUCUUUCUUUCCUUCUUUCUUUCUUUCUUUCUUUCUUUCUUUCUUUCUUUCUAGGUCGAAACAGGGGGAGGGGGGAAUCAACGGGUCUUAAGAUUCAGGGGAGAUGUACCCUGCCCCUACCCACAGCAAGCACUUCUAUAUUUUGCUCCCGCCGAGCGUGCAACUUAGCUGCCAACACUAGUAAUUUUUAGUCUCUGCUCAAACUCCACGAGGAAUAGACGGUUGGAUUUUGUACCAUGAGGUGUCUUACGCGACUAAUGCGAACUACUGCCUGCAGUACCAUGUAGGAACAUAAUUUUUAAACAAUGACUGAAAGCCAUUGUUUACAAAAAGGGGCCAUGAGCAUGAGGUCGCGGGAUCGAAUCCCGGCCACGGCGGCCGCAUUUCGAUGGGGGCGAAAUGCGAAAACACCCGUGUACUUAGAUUUAGGUGCACGUUAAAGAACCCCAGGUGAUCGAAAUUUCCGGAGUCCUCCACUACGGCGUGCCUCAUAAUCAGAAAGUGGUUUUGGCACGUUAAACCACAUAAUUAAUUAAGAGGGGCCAUGUGAUGACGUACUUAAAUAGCUGGUCCUUAGCUCCAUAUAACAGUAGCCCAGCUGACGGAUCUUGAUACCUACUUUUGUUUAUGAGCUAUCUUUCCCUAAUAAAAACACCAUCGUCAUCCUCAUCCUUGGGCGGCAGUCUGGAAAUUGCCAAAUUCCGCCAUAUUGUCUAAUUCGCCAUCUUGUCAGCUCUAUUUGGUGCAAAGCGCCGCUACGGUCUCUCUGAUUGGCUCGAAAUGCCCCCAUUGCAGAAUCUGACGAUAUGGCGUAACUCGACCAUGUCCAGAGUACCAUCUCUGGUCAUUACAAAACGCAAACACCGUUGAUACAAGCAACACAGUUUCCGAAAAAAAAAGCAGUAAGUAAUGCUUCACCGAACGUUCCACACGAGGAGCACAAGCGCGUGCAUUCUAUCAAAUUGGGUCUCUACACUUCCUGAAACUUUAAUCUCGGUACUUAAAGCAUAAGCUCUCGAACCAAGCGAUUCUUUAUGGUUUCCUGAUUUUAUUUUACAGCCAGUCUCGCAAUUCCUUUAGUACCUCUCCGAAACACAAUGGCCUCUUGCUCUCCAAUCUUCUUAGGUUGGGCCUCGUCUCGUAGCUCAUUAAUCUCGCAGCUGCGCACAAGCCAUAGUUCUUUUCCUCGCCUCUACGCUUCAGUGUAGCCUCCUCGGUCACCCCCCUCCACGCUCUCCCGCCUAAAUUCUGCUGAGAAAGG